CCUACGGGUGGCAGCAGUAGGGAAUCUUUCACAAUGGGCGAAAGCCUGAUGGAGCAACGCCGCGUGCAGGAUGAAGGCCUUCGGGUUGUAAACUGCUUUUAUAAGCGAGAAAUAUGAUGGUAACUUAUGAAUAAGGAUCGGCUAACUACGUGCCAGCAGCCGCGGUCAUACGUAGGAUCCGAGCAUUAUCCGGAGUGACUGGGUGUAAAGAGUUGCGUAGGUGGCAUAAUAAGUAACUAGUGAAAUCUGGUGGCUCAACAAUUCAGACUAUUAGCUAAACUGUUAAGCUCGAGACCGUUAGGGGUAACUGGAAUUACUAGUGUAGGAGUGAAAUCCGUAGAUAUUAGAAGGAACACCAAUAGCGUAGGCAGGUUGCUGGGACGGUUCUGACACUAAGGCACGAAAGCGUAGGGAGCAAACGGGAUUAGAUACCCGUGUAGUC
rnacentral:rRNA from 1 species